UUGCCUGAAGAUGAGCUCGCGUCUGAUUAGCUAGUUGGUGUGGUAAGAGCGCACCAAGGCGACGAUCAGUAGCUGGUCUGAAAGGAUGAUCAGCCACACUGGGACUGAGACACGGCCCAAACUCCACGGGAGGCAGCAGUGGGGAAUUUUCCCCAAUGGGCGAAAAGCCUGACGGAGCAAACCGCGUGAGGGAGGAAGGCUCUUGGUGUUGUAAACCUCUUUUCUCCAGGGAAUAAAAAAAUGAAGGUACCUGAGGAAUAAGCAUCGGCUAACUCCGUGCCAGAGCCGCGGUAAUACGGAGGAUGCGGGCGUUAUCCGGAACGAUUGGGCGUAAAGCGUCCGCAGGUGGCACUGUAAGUCUGCUGUUAAA
rnacentral:rRNA from 1 species